rnacentral:rRNA from 1 species
CAAGGUUUCCAGGGGAAGGUUCGUCCGCCCUGGGUUAGUCGGGACCUAAGCUGAGGCCGAAAGGCGUAGGUGAUGGACAACAGGUUGAUAUUCCUGUACUACCGAUAACCGUUUGAGAGAAGGGAUGACACAGUAGGAUAAGCUAAGCACACUGUUGGUUAUGUGUGCCCAAGCAUUGAGGCAGUCAAAGUAGGCAAAUCCGCUUUGAUAAUGCUGGGAUGUGAUGGGGAGCGAAAUUUAGUAGCGAAGUAGCUGAUUUCACACUGUCAAGAAAAGUCUCUAUCGAGGUUAAAGGUACCCGUACCGCAAACCGACACAGGUGGGUGAGGAGAGUAUCCUAAGGCCAGCGAGAGAACUGUUGUUAAGGAACUCGGCAAAAUGACCCCGUAACUUAGGGAUAAGGGGUGCCACCAUCAGGUGGCCGCAGAGAAUAGGCCCAAGCGACUGUUUACCAAAAACAUAGGUUUCUGCUAAGUCGCAAGACGAUGUAUAGGAGCUGACGCCUGCCCGGUGCUGGAAGGUUAAGGGGAUCUGUUAGAGCAAUCGAAGCAGUGAACUUAAGCCCCAGUAAACGGCGGCCGUAACUAUAACGGUCCUAAGGUAGCGAAAUUCCUUGUCGGGUAAGUUCCGACCCGCACGAAAGGCGUAACGAUUUGGGCACUGUCUCAACAACAGACUCGGUGAAAUUGUAAUUCCGGUGAAGAUGCCGGAUACCUGCGACAGGACGGAAAGACCCCAUGGAGCUUUACUGUAGCUUGACAUUGGGUCUUGGUACUACAUGUACAGGAUAGGUGGGAGGCUUUGAAACCAGGACGCCAGUUUUGGCGGAGCCAUCCUUGGGAUACCACCCUUGUAGUACUGGGACUCUAACCAUAGGCCAUGAAUCUGGUCUUGGGACACUGUCAGGUGGGCAGUUUGACUGGGGCGGUCG